rnacentral:lncRNA from 1 species
GCUCCGUCCCGUUAGACAUAUUUUCAAGGCUUCCCACGGCCGUGACGACCAGUACAGUUGCCACCUCCUGUCUCGAGAGGGGCUGCUGCCGGCGGGGCAGUAGCCCACUGUUCCUCCCUGUUCCUCCUCCCUUCGAAUCUCCCACCGCCGGGAGGACGAGCGGCGGCGCUGCCGCCGCCGGCGUGCACGGCCGAGCCCAUCCGGGCUUCU